AUUGAACGCUGGCGGCAGGCCUAACACAUGCAAGUCGAGCGGAGCGGCGGACGGGAGAGCAAUGCCGAGGAAUCUGCCUGGUAGUGGGGGGGAACGUCCGGAAACGGGCGCUAAUACCGCAUACUAUCAGACGAGCCUAGGUCGGAUUAGGUAGUUGGUGGGGUAAAAGCUUACCAAGGCGACGAUCCGUAACUGGUCUGAGAGGAUGAGCAGCCACACUGGAACUGAGACCCGGUCAAGACGCAGACGGGAGGACGCAGUGGGGAAUAUUAGACAAUUGGCGACAACCAGAUCCAGCCAUGGCGCGUGUGUGAUGAAGGUCUUCGGAUUGUAAAGCACUUUCAGAUGGGAGGCGUUACCCGCAGAAUAAGCACCGGCUAAAUUCGUGCCAGCCGCCGCGGUAAUUC
rnacentral:rRNA from 1 species